AAUCACACAAGUCCUUAAAAGCUGAGAACUUCCUCCUGCUGGGGACAGGACAGAUGAGGCAGAAGGGGAAGUUAGGGAGGUUUGAAGAGUGAGAAGAACUUCUGCAGUGGCUGACUUGGAAGAUGAAGGAGGCUAUGAACCAGGGAAUGGGGGCAGCCUCUAGAGGCUGAGAACCUGCUGACGCCCAGCCACAACCACUAAGGAAAUGAAGACUUCAAUUCCACAACUGCAUGCAACUAAAUUCAGCCAACAACCUGAAUAAGUCUAAAAGAGGCUUCUCCAGAGCCUCCGGAUAAGAGGCCAGGCUGGCGACACCUUGAUUUUGACCUUGUGAGACCUAGAGCAGAGAAACCAGCCAAGACUACUCAGACUUCUGAUCUACAAAACUGUGAGACUGUAAAUUUAUGUUGUAUUAAGCCACUAAUUGUGUGGGAAUUUGUUACAGGAGCAAUAGAAAAUGAAUACACCUUCUGAUGUAGUUUAAUCAGUUGACAUUAGGGGUGACACCAAGAUGUGCUACACCGAACCCGACUUCUGCAUGUUUAAGACAAGAUGAAGGUCAAAAAUUUACAUCAGGGACCUGAAUGUGUAGCAUAUACAACCGAGUGUUGAAAGAAGACAAAAUUAUUUUCAUCAUGAAGAAUAUGUGCUCAGUAAGAAUCAGAAUGUUCAAUUGUGUGAAGGUGGGAGAUGGGAAGAUUGGUAUUAUGGCCUUGGAUCCAGAAAUCAGUCUUCCACUAUGGGAAAUGGGAAUUUAAAGAUGAUCAGAAGACAGUUGGGAGCAGAGUGAGAAUAAGAACCCUCAACUGCUGUCUCACCUUUCAGAUCACAAAGAAGUUUUUUACAAUGAGCAGAACACUCAACCUGAAAGCAGAAUGGAUUGUCACUGCAGUGUGGCAGUGGAAUGGUGCUUGAUGUUGGCAAAGGAAACAUGUACUUCUAGACUGGACAGUUUUCCCUUAGUUUACAGUUUCCAAAUAGAGACAUCACUUUAAAAUAACAUGGAGAACAUACAUGGAUGUACUGAAUGAAGAAUAAAGUCUGUGUUGCAGUCCUGGCUCCAUCUACUUUUACAAAUAUGGCUUUGGACAAAUCACCUAACUUUUACUUUUGAGAAUUUAAACUUAUCAUGUAUAAAAUGAUAUUGCUAAUAUGUUUGCUGCCUACCCCAUUGGUUUUUGUGAGUAAUAAAUGAUAAUGCUAAGAAAAAGG